AUGAAACCAUGUAACAUUCAUAAUGCUACAUUAUCUUGCCUGAGUCCUACUUCUGCAAAGUUAUCCUUUUACACCUUCCUAGUCAAUUCACUCCCAUUCAUGACAGUAACGAUCCUAAACCUUUCUAUCCUUUCUCAAGGGAGAGAAAGAGAAAGAAAGAAAGAAAGAAAGAAAGAAAGAAAGAAAGAAAGAAAGAAAGAAAGAAAGAAAGAAAGAAAGAAAGAAAGAAAGAAAGAAAGAAAGAAAGAAAGAAAGAAAGAAAGAAAGAAAGAAAGAAAGGAAGGAAGGAAGGAAGGAAGGAAGGAAGGAAGGAAGGAAGGAAGGAAGGGAGAGAGAGAGAGAGAGAGAGAGAGAGAGAGAGAGAGAGAGAGAGAGAGAGAGAGAGAGAGAGAGAGAGAGAGAGAGAGAGAGAGAGAGAGAGAGAGAGAGAGAGAGAGAGAGAGAGAGAGAGAGAGAGAAGAAGAAGAAGAAGAGGAAGAAGAAGAAGAAGAAGAGAUUGGAGGGGGAGGAAGAGGAAGAGGAGGAAGAGGAGGAGGAGCCCAGAGG
rnacentral:lncRNA from 1 species